rnacentral:rRNA from 1 species
AACGAACGCUGGCGGCAUGCCUAACACAUGCAAGUCGAACGAGACCUUCGGGUCUAGUGGCGCACGGGUGCGUAACGCGUGGGAACCUUCCCUUAGGUUCGGAAUAACUCCCCGAAAGGGGUGCUAAUACCGGUUAAUUUCUUCGGACCAAAGAUUUAUCGCCUUUGGAUGGGCCCGCGUUGGAUUAGCUUGUUGGUAGGGUAAAAGCCUACCAAGGCGACGAUCCAUAGCUGGUCUGAGAGGAUGAUCAGCCACACUGGGACUGAGACACGGCCCAGACUACUACGGGAGGCAGCAGUGGGGAAUAUUGGAAAAUGGGCGAAAGCCUGAUACAGCAAUGCCGCGUGAGUGAUGAAGGCCUUAGGGUUGUAAAGCUCUUUUACCCGGGAUGAUAAUGACAGUACCGGGAGAAUAAGCUCCGGCUAACUCCGUG